AGAGCGCAUCAUUAGUGAGGUCUGGAGAGUCCACGACAGCCACAGGGCCAGCCACCCCCAGGGGCCACCAGGAGGCUGGCCCCGCCCGGCACUGCCUGCUCACAAAACGGGCACUUAAUUUUAGGUAUUGCACUUAUACUAGGAGUUUGGCUAGUCAGAAAGGUUUUAUUGACCACUUUCUGGUUGGAGAGAAAAAAAAAGGAAUAUAUAAUGUCAUAAUUUCCUCUACGUAAUUCCAAAAAAAACCCCAAAACAUGCAAAAAUGGGCAAGCCAGAGCCAUCUACUCUCCGUCAUUACCAGGAAGUUGAGCACAGGGGGAAAAGAAAACAAGUCAAAAUUACAUUCAAGAGGAAAUCAGUAAUUAAUAUUUUGAAAGCAAUGUAACACCUGAAAAUAGGGACUGUGAUGGAUAUUCAACCCCAAGGGCCGGUGGCUGUGCUUUUGGGGAUGAGCAAAACCCCCGAGAGACGGACACUGAAUUCUGAGUGCAGGGCAUUUGGCGGCAUGUACCCCGAGCUCCAGAUUCUCAGAGCGGCCGGCACACUAACAGGCUGCCGACUCCCCGGCUCCUCCCCACACUGUUAGGACUCCAGUUUGUAGAAAAGAAAUUUCAGCUCUAGAAUACCGAGAAACAUCCUCAAGCAAAAUGCUGUCUGGAACCUGCUCACUCCGAAUUCCACAUUCUUGCCAGCGCAGGGUCUGAGCAUGGCAGUCAUCCUAAAAACCCUGCCCAGUGAGCAUGUACUAAAGAAGUGACCUGGAAAAUCUGGCGAACACUGUCCUUUUAGCUGCGUGCUCUUGGGCAAGACGAUGAACCUCCAUGCCUCAGGCUUUCUCUGCAGCACAGAGAUAAUCCCCCUAAUAAUCCCUUAGACCGCGCUGAGGACUCAGUGUGCACGCUGGGCGGUCACCUGUGGGAACGGAGAACGCUGUGCUGCUUAUCACUACUACAGAGGCAGAAGGCCUGGCACAGGACGCGGCUGGUGCGCAGCACUGGUCAGCCCUCCUCCUACAGCUCUGUGGUAGAACAGACCUCUCAGAAAAGAAACGGGGGGCAAAAGACCAAACAAACAGAAGACCUACAAAUUCAAGAGGUAACUCAGUCCCUCUGCAGAGAGUGUGAAUGACACAAGGAGGGUCCAGGCCUGGCUCCCUUCCAGACGCAAGCGCUGCCACCAAUCGUCUUGGGAGCGUGACCGGGUUGGACCGUGUCUGCAUCCUCCUCCUACAAGGUGCCCUCCAUACACGACUGCACCUUCGCAGACAUGCGCUUCUGGCCUCACGGGCGAUGGCCUGCCCUCUCACCCAUCAGGAACGCUCGCCCUAGCGCUCUCCGACUACUCACUCCGCCUCUGCUGGGCCACACACAGCUGCCUACCCAGCCCUUCACAUGGUGCAGAGUGUUCCACUGCUUAUUCAUGGAUCCAUACAGUAAUGUUCCGUUUCUACGGCCGUCACAGACAUGGACAGCAUAUGGCAGAUGAGUGGACUGGGUGGCAGGGAGGGUGACGGGGCGCCGGGUGCAUGGGGGUGUCCUGGCCCUGGUGCUGGGUAUACAGGUGUGCAGUCCUUUCAUGCUGGACGCCUAGUGUGCACUGUGCCACUUGUCAUAGGCCUGUUCCCACCUCAAUAAAACUGAGCAAAAAUAAAAGAAUAUAUGAGAAAGUUUCCAUAGCUUUGAAGAUACGCUUUAACAUGUGGUGGUGCCACCCCCUCCUCUCCCCUUUUCUGCUCCGGACUCUCCCUGGCUAUUCUUGUUUUUUGCUCUCCCGUAUGAGCUUUAGAACCAAUCUGUCCAGUUCUGUGAGGGGCGUGACAUGGACAUAUCCACACGCACGCAGGCACACACGCUGCCUUUCAAACAGCUUUUCAAGGAUGACAUCGCCCAAACCUGCAGUCCCUGUGCCCAGGGGGCUUCUCCAGCUCUCACACACAACCCGGAGGACACGCUUCCGCAUGCGGGUGGAAUGCCACUCUACUGCUGGCCCUGGGGGAUCAUAUUCUGAAAGUAGAGUUUAAAUUUAAUUUAUUCAUGUCCGGCUGCCUCUCAUCAUCCUAAGUCAUUUCAGGUUGCCCUCUCCUUGGCAGGCGACUGCUGGCCGGGCCCCUCGGCACUCAGACUGAAUGUCCAGCCUUCUUCCCAGAGAGAAGGGCCCCAGGGCCCAGGUUCUGAAGCACAAAACCAAUAGCUUUGGCUUGAAUCACUCUGAAACAUUCACUGUGAUUUUUCUGAAUACGAAAUGUGACUUCGUGAAUAUUCCAUGCUUAGUUCUAAAUCUUACUCCAGAAAUCCUCCUGUGGAUUUAGCCCUAACAAACUAUAAAACUAUGACAAAAAUUAAAGUCAAGGGGAUGAUUCAGAAAAGUGUAAUAUUACAAUUUAAAAUAUUUUAAAAGCAAGUGUUGGAGCAGAUGGUCUGAAGGAUAUCUCCAUCGUUAAAAAAGCCUGCAUCAGAUACAAAGAAUAGCCUUUCUGCUAGAUACUAAAAAACAAACGUGUUUUCAUAACUGGGUUUCAAAUACGUGGUUUAUAAUCUUAAAGUUAAGACACUAUGAAAAUAAAAAACUAUUCAAUGCUGUAACAGCAUCUUGCCACAUAAUAUGCCAAAAAUUAAACAUUCUGUAUUUAAGCUCAUUAAAUCAAUUCUGCAACUUUUUCAUACUUAAGACCUUUUUGUUUUUUGCUGUUCUGCAACUCGCUACUUUUUUUUUUGGUAUCAUUAACGUACAGUUAUAUGAGCAACAUUAUGGUUACUAGACUCCCCCCA